rnacentral:lncRNA from 1 species
AGACACUGAGCAGAGGGCAAAUGGCAUGAAGUGAUGAUGGUGAGGGAGGGGAUGAGUCCCAUGGGCUCUACUCUGAGUGUAAUGAGAAGCCUUUGAAUGGUUAAUCAACUUUGUAACAUAAUCCAGUUUCCACAAUAGGAACUUUUCAUGCAAUGUGAGGAAUGAAUUGUGAGGGGAAGAAUGGAAGAGGAGACCACAAAGAAGCAGUUGCAAGAGUCCAAGUCGGAAAUACUGGCAUCAAGGACCUGAAUGAUAACAGAGGAAAUGGGGAGUAGAGGACAAAAUGAGAUUUGCCUUUGAGGAUUUUCCCCCACUAUGCAGAAAUGCGAGGAAAUGGGACUCUAGAGAUGCAAGUUGUGAUAAAGGAAAAAGGCCAAGAUGAAAGAAAUACAGCACAGUUUCUAAAAAAAGAAACUGUGGUUACCUUAUGUGGCCCAGGGAAGCAAGUUGGACCUUGGUAUCUGAUGGCAGGAAAGUACCAAUAACAAAAGAAAGAAGAAGCACAGAAGAGUUCCCAGGAGAAAGAGUUCUGCUUCUCAAUUUUGCUCACUCUGCCUCUCUGUUAUUCUUGUAAAAGGGUGGCAUUUGUUGUAAGGGGGACCUGUGAAGGGAUUACGGAUGGCUAAAAGAAGAAGAUCCCACGAGUGGAAAAAUACUGAAAAGUGUCGUAGUGUAGGUGAAGAAACUCAAGUGAAAUUACUCAGAGCAGAUCACAAAUAUUUUAGACCAUAUAAUGCACUCAGCAUUGUUCCUAGAGCAUCAUAAACACUCAAUGUAAGUUUCACUUCUCCUUCCUCUCCUUUUCCUCCUCUCUCUUCUGCCCCUUCCUUCUUUUUUUUCUUUCCUUUCUUCUUCCUCUUCUCCUCCUUUUCCUUCUUACUGCUGUUGUUGUUACUUAUUUUCAUUAUUUCUCCUUCCUUUACUUCCCAUCCUGACAAUAGAGAUCCUACCCAACCAUUCAGUUAACUUCACUAGUAUUUGAGUUCUACCUCCUUCAUUAAGCUUUCUCCGGCUAAUCCUAACCUGCAUUGACCUCCCAUUUGGGGAUUAAUAUCUGGUUUCACACUGUCUUAAAUUGUUCCUUGUUACUCCAAUUAUUAUUUAAUCUUGUCAGAUGAAUAAAGUGACAAAUACUUUGAAGGCUGAAA